rnacentral:rRNA from 1 species
CAGCCGCCGCGGUAAUACGUAGGGUGCGAGCGUUAAUCGGAAUUACUGGGCGUAAAGCGUGCGCAGGCGGUUCGGAAAGAAAGAUGUGAAAUCCCAGGGCUUAACCUUGGAACUGCAUUUUUAACUACCGGACUAGAGUGUGUCAGAGGGAGGUGGAAUUCCGCGUGUAGCAGUGAAAUGCGUAGGGAUGCGGAGGAACACCGAUGGCGAAGGCAGCCUCCUGGGAUAACACUGACGCUCAUGCACGAAAGCGUGGGGAGCAAACAGGAUUAGAUACCCGCGUAGUCCCUGUCUCUUAUAC